AGAAUCAACGCUGGCGGCGUGCCUAACACAUGCAAGUCGAACGAGAAAGGGUAGCAAUACCUGAGUAAAGUGGCGCACGGGUGAGUAACACGUGACUAACCUACCCUGGAGUGGGGGAUAACUGAGGGAAACCUUAGCUAAUACCGCAAUAAUACCUACGGGUCAAAGGAGCAAUUCGCUUCAGGAGGGGGUCGCGGCCGAUUAGUUAGUUGGCGGGGUAAUGGCCCACCAAGACGAUGAUCGGUAU
rnacentral:rRNA from 1 species